GCAACUCGACUACAUGAAGCUGGAAUCGCUAGUAAUCGCGAAUCAGAAUGUCGCGGUGAAUACGUUCCCGGGUCUUGUACACACCGCCCGUCACACCAUGGGAGUUGGGAAUGCCCGAAGCCGGUGACCUAACCGAAAGGGAGGAGCCGUCGAAGGCAGGCUUGAUAACUGGGGUGAAGUCGUAACAAGGUAUC
rnacentral:rRNA from 1 species